UUAAGCGAACAAGCGUACACGGUGGAUGCCCUGGCAGUCAGAGGCGAUGAAGGACGUGCUAAUCUGCGAAAAGCGCCGGUAAGGUGAUAUGAACCGUUAUAGCCGGCGAUGUCCGAAUGGGGAAACCCAGUGUGAUUCGUCACACUAUCUCAGCAUGAAUACAUAGUGCUGUGAGGCGAACCGGGGGAACUGAAACAUCUAAGUACCCCGAGGAAAAGAAAUCAACCGAGAUUCCCCCAGUAGCGGCGAGCGAACGGGGAACAGCCCAGAGCCUGAAUCAGCUUGUGUGUCAGUGGAACGGUCUGGAAAGGCCGGCGAUACAGGGUGACAGCCCCGUACACGAAGGCACACAGGCUGUGAGCUCGAUGAGUAGGGCGGGACACGUGAUAUCCUGUCUGAAGAUGGGGGGACCAUCCUCCAAGGCUAAAUACUCCUGACUGACCGAUAGUGAACCAGUACCGUGAGGGAAAGGCGAAAAGAACCCCGGCGAGGGGAGUGAAACAGAACCUGAAACCGUGUACGUACAAGCAGUGGGAGCCUUCGUAAGAGGGUGACUGCGUACCUUUUGUAUAAUGGGUCAGCGACUUAUAUUCUGUAGCAAGGUUAACCGCAUAGGGGAGCCGAAGGGAAACCGAGUCUUAAUUGGGCGUUAAGUUGCAGGGUAUAGACCCGAAACCCGGUGAUCUAGCCAUGGGCAGGUUGAAGGUUGGGUAACACUAACUGGAGGACCGAACCGACUAAUGUUGAAAAAUUAGCGGAUGACCUGUGGCUGGGGGUGAAAGGCCAAUCAAACCGGGAGAUAGCUGGUUCUCCCCGAAAGCUAUUUAGGUAGCGCCUCGUGAACUCAUCUUCGGGGGUAGAGCACUGUUUCGGCUAGGGGGCCAUCCCGGCUUACCAACCCGAUGCAAACUACGAAUACCGAAGAAUGUUAUCACGGGAGACACACGGCGGGUGCUAACGUCCGUCGUGAAGAGGGAAACAACCCAGACCGCCAGCUAAGGUCCCAAAGUCAUGGUUAAGUGGGAAACGAUGUGGGAAGGCACAGACAGCCAGGAUGUUGGCUUAGAAGCAGCCAUCAUUUAAAGAAAGCGUAAUAGCUCACUGGUCGAGUCGGCCUGCGCGGAAGAUGUAACGGGGCUAAACCAUGCACCGAAGCUGCGGCAGCGACACUAUGUGUUGUUGGGUAGGGGAGCGUUCUGUAAGCCUGUGAAGGUGUGCUGUGAGGCAUGCUGGAGGUAUCAGAAGUGCGAAUGCUGACAUAAGUAACGAUAAAGCGGGUGAAAAGCCCGCUCGCCGGAAGACCAAGGGUUCCUGUCCAACGUUAAUCGGGGCAGGGUGAGUCGACCCCUAAGGCGAGGCCGAAAGGCGUAGUCGAUGGGAAACAGGUUAAUAUUCCUGUACUUGGUGUUACUGCGAAGGGGGGACGGAGAAGGCUAUGUUGGCCGGGCGACGGUUGUCCCGGUUUAAGCGUGUAGGUGUGUGUUCCAGGUAAAUCCGGUUCACUUUAACACUGAGGCGUGAUGACGAGGCACUACGGUGCUGAAGUAACAAAUGCCCUGCUUCCAGGAAAAGCCUCUAAGCAUCAGGUAACACGAAAUCGUACCCCAAACCGACACAGGUGGUCAGGUAGAGAAUACCAAGGCGCUUGAGAGAACUCGGGUGAAGGAACUAGGCAAAAUGGUGCCGUAACUUCGGGAGAAGGCACGCUGACAUGUAGGUGAAGCCCCUGCGGGUGGAGCUGAAGUCAGUCGAAGAUACCAGCUGGCUGCAACUGUUUAUUAAAAACACAGCACUGUGCAAACACGAAAGUGGACGUAUACGGUGUGACGCCUGCCCGGUGCCGGAAGGUUAAUUGAUGGGGUUAUCGCAAGAGAAGCUCCUGAUCGAAGCCCCGGUAAACGGCGGCCGUAACUAUAACGGUCCUAAGGUAGCGAAAUUCCUUGUCGGGUAAGUUCCGACCUGCACGAAUGGCGUAAUGAUGGCCAGGCUGUCUCCACCCGAGACUCAGUGAAAUUGAACUCGCUGUGAAGAUGCAGUGUACCCGCGGCAAGACGGAAAGACCCCGUGAACCUUUACUACAGCUUGACACUGAACAUUGAGCCUUGAUGUGUAGGAUAGGUGGGAGGCUUUGAAGCGUGGACGCCAGUCUGCGUGGAGCCAACCUUGAAAUACCACCCUUUAAUGUUUGAUGUUCUAACCUGGCGCCAUAAUCUGGCGUGGGGACAGUGUCUGGUGGGUAGUUUGACUGGGGCGGUCUCCUCCCAAAGUGUAACGGAGGAGCACGAAGGUCAGCUAAUCCUGGUCGGACAUCAGGAGGUUAGUGCAAUGGCAUAAGCUGGCUUGACUGCGAGAGUGACGGCUCGAGCAGGUGCGAAAGCAGGUCAUAGUGAUCCGGUGGUUCUGUAUGGAAGGGCCAUCGCUCAACGGAUAAAAGGUACUCCGGGGAUAACAGGCUGAUACCGCCCAAGAGUUCAUAUCGACGGCGGUGUUUGGCACCUCGAUGUCGGCUCAUCACAUCCUGGGGCUGAAGUAGGUCCCAAGGGUAUGGCUGUUCGCCAUUUAAAGUGGUACGCGAGCUGGGUUUAGAACGUCGUGAGACAGUUCGGUCCCUAUCUGCCGUGGGCGCUGGAGAAUUGAGGGGGGCUGCUCCCAGUACGAGAGGACCGGAGUGGACGCAUCACUGGUGUUCGGGUUGUCAUGCCAAUGGCACUGCCCGGUAGCUAAAUGCGGAAGAGAUAAGUGCUGAAAGCAUCUAAGCACGAAACUUGCCCCGAGAUGAGUUCUCCCUGAGACUAUAAGUCUCCUGAAGGAACGUUGAAGACGACGACGUUGAUAGGCCGGGUGUGUAAGCGCAGCGAUGCGUUGAGCUAACCGGUACUAAUGAACCGUGAGGCUUAACCUU
rnacentral:rRNA from 1 species